rnacentral:rRNA from 1 species
UACAGAGGCGGCAAGCGUUGUUCGGAAUUACUGGGCGUAAAGGGCGCGUAGGCGGCCUGUUAAGUCCCGUGUGAAAUCCCUCGGCACAACCGAGGAGCUGCACGGGAAACUGGCGGGCUUGAGUUCGGGAGAGGGAAGCGGAAGUCCGGGUGUAGCGGUGAAAUGCGUAGAUAUCCGGAUGAACACCGGUGGCGAAGGCGGCUUCCUGGACCGACACUGACGCUGAGGCGCGAAAGCUAGGGGAGCAAACGGG